rnacentral:lncRNA from 1 species
CUCUCUUCAGGUAUAUAUAUGUAUUACCUGAAAGCCCAGGGCAGUUGUUGCCUUGGGUCAUGCAGAGAAUAUGCAGCCACACCCAUGCCUUAGAUGUGUGUAAUUCAAGUGGAGAAGACACAAGCCAGUGGUCGCAAUAUCAACACUUGAGUGUUCUGUAAACGAUUAAUGUUUGCCAUGUGCAAGGAAAUGGCAGAGGCAAAAUGCUGGCGGCUUAUGGAAAAAUAAUUUAUAAAAAAAUGAUGGGUUAGUUCUGCCAAAUUUGAGUAAGUGAGAACACGAGAAACCAUAUUCUGUUAGAGCUUGAGAAAAGGAAGGAAAGUCAAACGGUGAGUCUAACCUCAUUUAUUCCAGGAUUGGUGUCAGCAGAAAACCAACAGUGAUGUGGUGGCACACAGUGAACUGACAGGACCCAGGCAGCAGCGGUUCUUUUGGUGGCAAUGGUGCCAUGUCAUGGGUACUCUCCUUGCUGAUGGCAGAUACCGACAGGCAAACUGUUGCCUUGCGUUUAGCUCUGUUAACCAUUGACAGUAAGGUAAGCAUGUCUUCAGCGUUCAUGGCUCUUAAAGAUCUUGUCUGUAACACAAGGGUUUAAGAC